GGCGAACGGGUGAGUAACGCGUGAGGAACCUGCCUCAAAGAGGGGGACAACAGUUGGAAACGACUGCUAAUACCGCAUAAGCCCACGGCUCGGCAUCGAGCAGAGGGAAAAGGAGUGAUCCGCUUUGAGAUGGCCUCGCGUCCGAUUAGCUGGUUGGUGAGGUAACGGCCCACCAAGGCGACGAUCGGUAGCCGGACUGAGAGGUUGAACGGCCACAUUGGGACUGAGACACGGCCCAGACUCCUACGGGAGGCAGCAGUGGGGAAUAUUGCACAAUGGGGGAAACCCUGAUGCAGCGACGCCGCGUGGAGGAAGAAGGUCUUCGGAUUGUAAACUCCUGUUGUUGAGGAAGAUAAUGACGGUACUCAACAAGGAAGUGACGGCUAACUACGUGCCAGCAGCCGCGGUAAAACGUAGGUCACAAGCGUUGUCCGGAAUUACUGGGUGUAAAGGGAGCGCAGGCGGGAAGACAAGUUGGAAGUGAAAUCCAUGGGCUCAACCCAUGAACUGCUUUCAAAACUGUUUUUCUUGAGUAGUGCAGAGGUAGGCGGAAUUCCCGGUGUAGCGGUGGAAUGCGUAGAUAUCGGGAGGAACACCAGUGGCGAAGGCGGCCUACUGGGCACCAACUGACGCUGAGG
rnacentral:rRNA from 1 species